GACGAACGCUGGCGGCGUGCCUAAUACAUGCAAGUAGAACGCACAGUUUAUACCGUAGCUUGCUACACCAUAGACUGUGAGUUGCGAACGGGUGAUUAACGCGUAGGUAACCUGCCUGGUAGCGGGGGAUAACUAUUGGAAACGAUAGCUAAUACCGCAUAAUAUUAAUUAUUGCAUGAUAAUUAAUUGAAAGGUGCAAUUGCACCACUACCAGAUGGACCUGCGUUGUAUUAGCUAGUAGGUGAGGUAACGGCUCACCUAGGCGAAGAUACAUAGCCGACCUGGGAGGGUGAUCGGCCAACCUGGGACCGGGACACGGCCCAGAAUCCUACGGGAGGCAGCAGGAGGGAAACUUCGGCAAUGGACGAAAGUCUGACCGAGCAAAGCCGCGUGAGUGAAGAAGGUUUUCGGAUCGUAAAGCUCUGUUGUAAGAGAAGAACGGGUGUGAGAGUGGAAAGUUCACACUGUGACGGUAUCUUACCAGAAAGGGACGGCUAACUACGUG
rnacentral:rRNA from 1 species